ensembl:lncRNA
CAUUCUGGGUGUGCGUGUAGGUGUAGAUCCUAGUACUGUUUUCAGCUGAACAUCAACUCCUUUUCCCCCCCGCCUUUGAAGAUUUUGGACCUGAAUACUCGCUAUCAGCUUGCACACCUCUCUGUGGAUUUGGCCCUCCUGGUUGAGGUUCUCUGUACUCCCUCUGACCUUUCUGGGUUUCCACCACCCUUGAGAUACAGGAUCAGUCCAGCUAAGGUGUAUGCGGAUGCUUCCACUCAAACUGAUCCCUGCCUGGUUAUCUUACCUGACAAUUCACCUGACCAUCAUGCUGAUGAUGACAUGACCUAUUCUGAUCCUGACUCUGUUCCCUUUUCCCCCAGUAGCCCUGGCUACACUCCUCCUUACCUGUCAGCACGUUCUGGUUCUUCCCCUGGUCACACGCCUUAUUAGCCCUUUUCACCUCUCAACUACUCUCCCACCAGUCCUGUUUGCUCUCAAUAAAAUCAAUUAUUUUUUCGUA